rnacentral:rRNA from 2 species
UGAGGAAUAUUGGUCAAUGGACGGAAGUCUGAACCAGCCAAGUAGCGUGCAGGAUGACGGCCCUAUGGGUUGUAAACUGCUUUUGUAUGGGGAUAAAGUUAGGGACGUGUCCCUAUUUGCAGGUACCAUACGAAUAAGGACCGGCUAAUUCCGUGCCAGCAGCCGCGGUAAUACGGAAGGUCCAGGCGUUAUCCGGAUUUAUUGGGUUUAAAGGGAGCGUAGGCUGGAGAUUAAGUGUGUUGUGAAAUGUAGACGCUCAACGUCUGAAUUGCAGCGCAUACUGGUUUCCUUGAGUACGCACAACGUUGGCGGAAUUCGUCGUGUAGCGGUGAAAUGCUUAGAUAUGACGAAGAACUCCGAUUGCGAAGGCAGCUGACGGGAGCGCAACUGACGCUUAAGCUCGAAGGUGCGGGUAUCAAACAGG